rfam:Treponema brennaborense DSM 12168, complete genome.
GGAAGCGUGGUAGAGCGGUAAUACAACGGAUUGCUAAUCCGUCGGUUCUUCACAGGCCGGGCAGGUUCGACUCCUGUCGCUUCCG